UUGACCUCGAAUCAGGUAGGACUACCCGCUGAACUUAAGCAUAUCAAUAAGCGGAGGAAAAGAAACCAACAGGGAUUGCCCCAGUAACGGCGAGUGAAGCGGCAACAGCUCAAAUUUGAAAUCUGGUUCACGGCUCCGAGUUGUAAUUUAUAGAGGAUGCUUUUGGCGAGGUGCCUUCCGAGUUCCCUGGAACGAGACCCACAGAGGGUGAGAGCCCCGUAUGGUCGGACACCGAGCCUCUGUAAAGCUCCUUCGACGAGUCGAGUAGUUUGGGAAUGCUGCUCAAAAUGGGAGGUAUAUGUCUUCUAAAGCUAAAUAUUGGCCAGAGACCGAUAGCGCACAAGUAGAGUGAUCGAAAGAUGAAAAGCACUUUGAAAAGAGGGUUAAAAAGUA
rnacentral:rRNA from 1 species